rnacentral:rRNA from 1 species
GAUGAACGCUGGCGGCGUGCCUAAUACAUGCAAGUCGAGCGAACAGACGAGGAGCUUGCUCCUCUGACGUUAGCGGCGGACGGGUGAGUAACACGUGGAUAACCUACCUAUAAGACUGGGAUAACUUCGGGAAACCGGAGCUAAUACCGGAUAAUAUAUUGAACCGCAUGGUUCAAUAGUGAAAGACGGUUUUGCUGUCACUUAUAGAUGGAUCCGCGCCGCAUUAGCUAGUUGGUAAGGUAACGGCUUACCAAGGCGACGAUGCGUAGCCGACCUGAGAGGGUGCUCGGCCACACUGGAACUGAGACACGGUCCAGACUCCUACGGGAGGCAGCAGUAGGGAAUCUUCCGCAAUGGGCGAAAGCCUGACGGAGCAACGCCGCGUGAGUGAUGAAGGUCUUCUGAUCGUAAAACUCUGUUAUUAGGGAAGAACAAAUGUGUAAGUAACUAUGCACGUCUUGACGGUACCUAAUCAGAAAGCCACGGCUAACUACGUG